rnacentral:tRNA from 1 species
GGGGAUGUAGCUCAGUGGUAGAGCACUUGUCUAGUGCAUGAGGCCCUGGGUUCCAAUCCUGGCACUGCAA